rnacentral:rRNA from 1 species
UACGUAGGAGGCAAGCGUUGUCCGGAAUUACUGGGCGUAAAGCGCGUGUAGGUGGUGGGACAAGUCUGCUGUGAAAGCGCCUGGCUUAACCGGGCGAGGUCGGCGGAAACUGUCCGACUCGAGGACGGUAGAGGGGGGUGGAAUUCCCGGUGUAGUGGUGAAAUGCGUAGAGAUCGGGAGGAACACCUGUGGCGAAGGCGGCCACCUGGGCCGACCCCUGACGCGUGAGG